GUCUCAAAGCUUAAGCCAUGCAAGUCUAAGUUCAGGCUUGUUUCUUUCGGGGAGCGAGCCGAAACUGCGAACGGCUCAUUAGUCAGAUAAGGUUCCUUGGCUAAAAGCGGAUCGGUUUUAAUGGAUAACUGUGGUAAUUCUAGAGCUAAUACAUGCAACGCACCGUGGUCCCCGUAGUCUUCUCGUCUCGGGGAAACGGCAUUUAUUCUCUGGACCAGAUCGCCCUAGCCUGCGAAGCUACCGUCAAAAGUAGCGACGGGGUGAAGCGACAAGUGUUGAAAUCCGAAUAACUGUGCCGAUCGCGGGGUCUUUCCGGGCCCCCGGCGACUUUGCCAUGAAGUGUCUGUCCCAUCAAUUGGCGAUGGUCGGCGACCUGCCUACCACGGUGUUGACGGGUAACGGGGAAUCAGGGUUCGAUUCCGGAGAGGGAGCCUGCGAAACGGCUACCACCUCCAAGGAGGGCAGCAGGCGCGCAACUUACCCAAUCCCGACACGGGGAGGUAGUGACGAAAAAUAACGUGGCGGGGCCCUUUUGUGGUCACCGCGGGCGGAAUGAGCGCAAUUUAAAAGAGUGUGCGAGGAUCCAUUGGAGGGCAAGUC
rnacentral:rRNA from 1 species